AUUGAACGCUGGCGGCAGGCUUAACACAUGCAAGUCGAGCGGGGGAAGGUAGCUUGCUACCGGACCUAGCGGCGGACGGGUGAGUAAUGCUUAGGAAUCUGCCUAUUAGUGGGGGACAACAUCUCGAAAGGGAUGCUAAUACCGCAUACGUCCUACGGGAGAAAGCAGGGGAUCUUCGGACCUUGCGCUAAUAGAUGAGCCUAAGUCGGAUUAGCUAGUUGGUGGGGUAAAGGCC
rnacentral:rRNA from 1 species